UGAAGAAGGAACCAUUGUACAAUAGCCCAGUAGAAGAAAGAAGAAGAACAGAACUUUCUGGACACCCCUGACUUUUUGACAUUUGUCGUCUGUCGUUCACUUUUAGACAUGAUUUUCCGUUUUCCCAAAGAAUGUUGAGUGUGUACUUUGAGUUUAAAUUUGUAUAUUGUUUAAUGAUUACUUUCGAACAAAUUGUACUUAGUAGAGAAAAGAGAACAUACAAACAGGAUUUUACAAUACAUGAAUGAACUUUCUCAAAAUUCAGAACCCUGAGGAAGGUGCAAAUUAGAUACCGAAAGCUUGGCGAAUGAAUAAAGAGAAUUAAAUAAACAACUUUCAUAUUG